ACCUACGGGGCGCAGCAGUGAGGAAUAUUGGUCAAUGGGCGGAAGCCUGAACCAGCCAAGUCGCGUGAGGGAAUAAGGCCCUACGGGUCGUAAACCUCUUUUGCCGGGGAGCAAGGGCCGGGACGCGUCCCGGCCCGGAGAGUACCCGGAGAAAAAGCAUCGGCUAACUCCGUGCCAGCAGCCGCGGUAAUACGGAUGAUGCGAGCGUUAUCCGGAUUUAUUGGGUUUAAAGGGUGCGUAGGCGGGCUUUUAGUUCAGCGGUAAAAAUUCGGGGCCCAACCCCGUCCGGCCGUUGAAACUGGGGG
rnacentral:rRNA from 1 species